rnacentral:rRNA from 1 species
UACGUAGGUGACAAGCGUUGUCCGGAUUUACUGGGCGUAAAGAGCGCGCAGGCGGUCGAUCAAGUCGAGUGUGAAAGCCCCCGGCUCAACUGGGGAGGGUCAUUCGAUACUGAUCGACUCGAAGGCAGGAGAGGGUAGUGGAAUUCCCGGUGUAGUGGUGAAAUGCGUAGAUAUCGGGAGGAACACCAGUGGCGAAGGCGACUACCUGGCCUGUUCUUGACGCUGAGGCGCGAAAGCUAGGGGAGUAAACGGG